GAAAUGCGAUAAGUAAAGUGAAUUGCAGAAUUCAGUGAAUCAUCGAAUCUUUGAACGCACAUUGCGCCCGCCAGUAUUCUGGCGGGCAUGCCUGUUCGAGCGUCAUUUCAACCAUCAAGCCCCCGGCUUGUGUUGGGGACCUGCGGCUGCCCGCAGGCCCUGAAAAACAGUGGCGGGCUCGCUGUCACACCGAGCGUAGUAGCAUACAUUCUCGCUCAGGGCGUGCUGCGGGUUCCGGCCGUUAAACGACCUUCAUAACCCAAGGUUGACCUCGGAUCAGGUAGGAAGACCCGCUGAACUUAAGC
rnacentral:misc_RNA from 1 species